UGUCGGGCACAGUAAUACACAGCAGAGUCUUCAGGCUGCACAUUCUGUCCGUUUAGAGUCACUGUGUUACUGGAAGAGUCUAAGUCGAUACUGAACUUGUUCUUCAGUGAAUCUUUGUAAUAUGUGGUGGAUCCAACUCUCAUUCCAAUCCACUCCAGUCCUUUCCCUGCAGGCUGUCUGAUCCAAGCUGUGAAGUAGCCCAGAGAAUAAGAGACCUGACAGGUGAUGGUCAGACGUUGACCUGGCUGCACAGUCACAGAGGCUGGCUGUGUCAACUGUUCACACUUC